GCCCGCUUAGCACAGUGGCAGUGCGUUCCUCUCGUAUUACGUAACCGAAACUUUACGUAAGCGCGAUAUAUAAGGAAAGGUCAACGGUUCAAUCCCGUUAGUGGGCA
rfam:Trichosporon asahii var. asahii CBS 8904 unplaced genomic scaffold scaffold00035, whole genome shotgun sequence.